AUCUGGUGUCCAUAGGUUCCACAAAAGGGUACAGUUAAGUUGAUCAGGAAUGAUGAGGUUAGUAAAGGAGGCCUUAAGUUCGGGUUUGGAAGAACUAGCACAGCAACAAGCUCACAUACUAGGUGGUUAUUUCUGGGUAUUCUUUUCACUCCAGAUUGGAGUUGGUGUAAUUUGGCCCGCCAUUACAAUUUGUAUACAAAAAACUGAGUGAGCUCUUUUACGGUGAUUGGGGAGUUACAUCUUGUAAUUUGAUGUAACUCCUCCCUUAAUUAUUCUCCACCGUUGAUUAUAACUUGUUAACUAAAAAAGUUAAAUUUAAUCAACAAGGGUAUUAUGGUCAUGUGUAAUUGUUUUUUUAGUAACUCUGUCAAUUCGCUGGUCAAUCCCCUGCAUCUGGCUAGACGGUUGCGCAGGAGCGACGACCUUGGCGACCAGGCCGGCGCAACAUCCAUUAGGCCCACGCCACCNNNNNNNNNNNNNNNNNNNNNNNNNNNNNNNNNNNNNNNNNNNNNNNNNNNNNNNNNNNNNNNNNNNNNNNNNNNNNNNNNNNNNNNNNNNNNNNNNNNNNNNNNNNNNNNNNNNNNNNNNNNNNNNNNNNNNNNNNNNNNNNNNNNNNNNNNNNNNNNNNNNNNNNNNNNNNNNNNNNNNNNNNNNNNNNNNNNNNNNNNNNNNNNNNNNNNNNNNNNNNNNNNNNNNNNNNNNNNNNNNNNNNNNNNNNNNNNNNNNNNNNNNNNNNNNNNNNNNNNNNNNNNNNNNNNNNNNNNNNNNNNNNNNNCGCGGUCGGUCGUAGUGUUCCAUCGCCCUGAGCAGCGCCUCCUGCCGCCGAUAAGCCGACCAGCAACGCCGGCGACCAGUCCAUAGGCACGUAGCCGCCACUCCUGCCUUCCACCUCCCUGUUCCCUCAACCCCCGGCUGAAUCUGAAUCUAUUUGCUCUAUUAGCUCUGCUCUUUCUGAAUCUCUUUGAUCUGAAUUACUACCACAGUGUUGGGGCAGGUAUUCCAAAUUCUGAAUCUCUUUCUGUGGAGAACUGACAAUAUAUGUUCUUCCAAUAUGUGUAGGUGUAGUUUACAGUGGAAUGGGUCCGAUCUCUUUGCACUUUCUGAAUUUGUUGCUAUGUUCUGAAAUCACUUAUAUAAAAAUCAACAAGUUUCUGAAUUAAUGUUCAAAAAAUCAUCUAGUUUCUGAAAAUCAACAAGUCAUGAGAUGUUGUACAGCAGCUUUGUACAACAGCUUUUUCUUUCUUCAUAUGAACAAAAACUAUAAUCAUAAAAGGCAUGAGAUGUUGGACAUUUUUUAACUUAUUCUGAACCUCUUAUCUUGAGGGGAAUAUGUGAGCAUGGAAAUUACUUUACAUCCAGUACAUGAUUGAGACCAGUUGAUCAUUUAUAUGUCAUAUGCAGGAAGUCAUGGCCGAUGUAAGUGCAGAGUGUAUGGCUGAGUACGACGGCAUUGUCAGCAGGAUGUUUGAUAGCGAGGAAGAGGGUUUUGAGUUCUAUAACAAGUAUGCUCUUGAGAAAGGCUUUAGUGUGAGGAAAGGAUAUGUUGAGUGGGAUGAAGCGAACGAGAAGAUAAUUCUGAGGAAACUUGUCUGUAGUCGUGAAGGUUGCCGUGAAGAGAAACACAUGAAGAGGAAGAGAGAAGAUAGGAAGAGGAAGCCACGGAAUAUCACUCGUGUGGGGUGUAAAGCGAAAUUUGUCAUUGCAAGAGUCGUGAAAACAGGGCGGUGGUUUGUGAAAGAUUUCAUCGAUGAACACAACCAUCCUCUGGCCCCACGAGACCUUUCUUGCUUUCUGCGUUCCCACAGAAGAAUCAGCGACGAGAAGAAAGCGGACAUUAUAGAGAUGGAAAGUGUUGGAAUCAAGAAACACAAAAUCAUGGAUGUGUUGUGCAUGCAGUACGGUGGAUAUGACCAUGUUGGAUGCACGACGAGGGACAUCUAUAACUUCUGCCAUCGCUACAAGCAGGAAACGGUCGCUGCCGGUGAUGCUCAGACGGUGAUCCGUCACAUGAUGGCGCGGCAAGAGAGAGACCCAGAUUAUUUCUUCAAAUACUUGGUUGAUAAAGCUGGGCAUCUGAAGGGAUUGUUCUGGUCCGAUACUUAAUCCCGCCUUGAUUACGAGGCUUUCGGUGAUGUUGUUGUUUUUGAUAGCGCAUAUAGGACCAAUAAGUACAAUCUUCCGUUUGUGCCGUUUGUCGGGUUGAAUCACCACCGCAUCACUGUUAUCUUUGGAUGCGGGAUCAUUUUUCAUGAAACUAACGAGGCGUACGAGUGGAUGUUGCGGACAUUUUCUGAAGCCAUGUCGCAGAAGCAUCCGAUAUCUGUAAUCACCGACGGGGACCUUGCAAUGCAGAGAGCGAUCAGGGUGGUGUGGCCUGACUCAUACCACAGGCUAUGUGUAUGGCACAUUCAGCAGAACAUUGUACGCCAUCUGCAUGACGACGAGGUUAGGGAAGAAUUCAGAUCUUUCAUAUAUGACUCGUCUUCUAUUGAAGAGCACGAGAGAAAAUGGAUAGAGUUCUUAUGAAGGAAUGGAGUUACAAGUGAGGAGUCGUGGCUGCAUCAGAUGUAUCAGAUGAGGAAGCUGUGGUGUGCUCCAUACCUGGUGGGGCGUUGUUUCUUAGGAUUGAGCAGCAAUCAGCGUAGUGAGAGCCUCAACUCGGUGCUACAUACACAUCUUGAGGGUAAGAUGACAUUGUUUGAUAUGCUAGAGCACUAUGAGCGUUGCCUUUCGGGACGACGCUUGAAUGAGGCGAUCCUAGACAUCGUGGCCUUACAGUCCGUUGUAAGGGCAUUUGUAUCCCUUAGAUGUUUUGGUGAUUGAUAACAAUGCUUUUGCGGACUAAUCGUGUGCAUUGAGUUUUUCAGAGAUUCAUCCUUUGGCACGAGACGAUUCCCUCCCCUCGGAGUUUGAAGCGAAGACGGUGUAGUACUUUCGAAUUAGUUUGGUGGACUAGUUUCGUAGGGAUCACCGUACUAUCAAGAGGAGGUCCGCUUUGGAAAGGCUAGGGUGGAAUUAUCACGUACACUUCCUUUGCACACCCUUCGAGCCUUUCCGCUUCGUUGAUGAGCUCGUUCCCCUCUCUCAGUGUGCCCUCUCUGGUCCCAGUGGUAGUACCGUGGGCCGGAGCGGUAGUACCGCUUGGGUGCUACAAGCGGCAGUAUCGCUCCACAGCGGUAGUACCGCUGUAGCCCCCCAGCCGUAGUACCGCUGCGGCUUCGUGCUAGUACCGCCUCAAUUCGAGGGGUCUUUUUCCGUGUCGGGUUUUACGGUACUAGCUGCGGCAGUGGGGGCGGUAGUACCGCUCGUGUGCGGUAGUACCGCCCUGACCACCGCGGUAGUACCGCUCUGGGCCCAGCGGCAGUAUCGCGAGGGGGAGCGGUAGUACCGCUGGCCAAGCGGUAGUACCGCUCUCUGCGGGGCUGAAGUGGGGGGUAACGGUUGGAUUGCUCCCCCCACUAUAAAAGGGGGUCUUCUUCCCCAAAGUUGACCUACCUCUUCCCCCAAAAGAUCCAUUGUUGCUCCAAGCUCCAUUUUCGCCCGAUCUCUCUCCCUAGCCAAUCAAACUUGUUGAUUUGCUCGGGAUUGGUUGAGAAGGCCCCGAUCUACACUUCCACCAAGAGAAAUUUUGAUUCCCCCCACUAAUCCCUAGCGGAUCUUGUUACUCUUGGGUGUGUGAGCACCCUAGACGGUUGAGGUCACCGCGGAGCCAUAGUCCAUUGUGGUGAAGCUUCGUGGUGUUGUUGGGAGCCUCCAAUUAAGUUAUGGAGAUUGCCCCAACCUUGUUUGUAAAGGUUCGGUCGCCGCCUUCAAGGGCACCAAUAGUGGAAUCACGACAUCUCGCAUUGUGUGAGGGCGUGAGGAGAAUACGGUGGCCCUAGUGGCUUCUUGGGGAGCAUUGUGCCUCCACACCACUCUAACGGAGACGUACUUCCCCUCAAAAGGAAGGAACUUUGGUAACACAUCCUUGUCUCCACCGGCUCCACUCUUGGUUAUUUCUUACCUUUACUUGUGCACGCUUAUAUUGUGUUGUAUCCCUUUCUUGCUUGUGCGCUUGUUGUUGUUGCAUCAUAUAGGUUGCUCACCUAGUUGCAUAUCUAGACAACCUACUUUGAUGCAAAGUUUAAAUUGGUAAAGAAAAGCUAAAAAUUGUUAGUUGCCGAUUCACCCCCCUCUAGUCAACUAUAUCGAUCCUUUCAAUUGGUAUCAGAGCCUCGUCUCUUUAUUAAGGACUUUACCGUCCGAAGAGUAUGGUUGACGUCGUAGACGGUGUGGAGGAGCACUCCGGUGUGGAUCCGGUCUCGUCUACGGGAGAUGGGGGUACCGCGGUCUCUUGUGAGGAAUUCAAUGUGGCGUUGGACACAUGAAAACCUCCAUGACGACCGUGGUCGAAAGCAUGUUUAAUAAAUUCUUAGAAGGGCUUAAACUUUCCACCGACCGUUGAAAGUGGGUGAUCCCGCUAACAAGGUGACGGAUGCUACCUCCGACAAGGGGGAAGCUACUAGCGAGAAAGCUCCUUCUUCUAGUGGUAAAAAUGGGACCAGCAUCUUUGCCCAUGUGGAACCUCCACCUGUCUAUGGUGGACCGCUCCCUUCCACUCAUUUGAAUCAUGCCGGCCCGGCCCCUAAGAUUGAGAAGAAUGUAGAUUUUGAUUCUUGGGUCUAUCGUUUUAAGCGUCAUUUAAAUCAUGUGAACACUAACCUUUGGAGAAUCAUUGAAGAAGGUUUUUAUCCGCAUGACCGAAGUAACUUCACUCCUAGAGAAGUUGUGGAUCAUCAAUUCAAUGAGAAUGUUCUCUUCAUCAUCCAAGAAGCAAUCCCACCCGAAGAUCUUCCUCAUCUCCGGCCCUACACCGUGGCCAAAGAUGCUUGGCUCCAAGUUGUUUCCCUCUAUCGGGGAAGCGCAAGCAUUGAACGCUCCAACUAUGAAGUGGUGCAAGAUGAAGCCGAUGAGUUUGCAAUGAAACAAGAUGAAGAACCUCGUGAGCUUUUUCGGAGAGUAACCAAACUCGCGGUCUCUCUCCGAGAUCAUGGAAGUAAAGACACGGAUGACAAUUGGAUCAAGCGCAAAUUCCUCAAGGCAAUGAUGCCCUACCACAAAGCCAUGUCCUCCGUCAUUCGUCAAAGGCCGGACUUCCACACCUUGUCCUCAAGUGAAGUGUUGGAUGAGUUCGUUGCUAUGAGCAUCUUGGACAAGACCGCCGACAAUGCGGUUCUUCACUCUCAAAGAGUAAAGAAGCCCAACCUUGCUCUAAAGGCCAAGGUUAGUAUGGAGGAAGAGGAUGAAGAGGAACAAGAGGAGGGCAACCUUGAAGAUACGAAGUAUGCCUAUCAUGAACACAUGGCUCUUGCUUCAAGGCAAUUUUGGAGCAAGAAGAACUCAAGGCCAAACUUCAACAAGAACAAUUCAAGUGGCGCAAAGGGCAAGCAACGGGUGAGGACUUGCUUCAAUUGUGGCAAUGUGAGCCACUUUGUUGUGGAGUGCCCUUACGAGAAGAGGGAAGACAAUGGUGGCAAGCUCAUCCGAAAGGACAAGGCCAAGUCGUUCCCCAACAAGAGCAACUUCACCAAGAAGACUCCUCCCAAGGCAUUAGUCGUACAAGAAGAGUGCAACGAGGAUGAUGACGAUGAUGAAGAUGGUGAGUCGAUUGCCAUGGCCUCUGUGGCCAUUGCGAUGACUCCACGGAUGUCUCUCUUCGACUCACCCAAUGAGAACAUCGCCGCCAAGUGCCUCAUGGCUAAAGCCACCAACAAGAUAACCCCCAACAUCAAAACUACCAUCAUUAAUCAUCCUUCUUCGACGGGUGUCAUUGAUGAACAUGAGGGGACAAAUAUGGAGGAAAAUGAGUUUGAGACCUUUAUGGGUAAACUCAAGGGUAAAUCCAAGAAGCACUUCGUUGCUCUCUUGGAACAACUUGGUGAAGCCAAUGACAUGAUCGAGGCUCACGAAGACACCAUCUCUAAGAUGGAGGGGCAUAGUCGUGACUAUGCCGAUGAGAUUUCGGAUCUUUCCAAUGCUCUUGACGAAGAGCGUGGUCUUCGUUUGGCUCUUGAGGAGUCAUACAACGAUGAUCAUGCUAAGUUAAAGAAAGAUCUCGAUCAUGCUCUUGUUGUGUCUCGUGUGCUAAACUCCGAGAAGGCAAAGCUUGGGGUUGAUCUUGCUAGACUCAAAGAGGAGUUUGACAUUCUUGACAAGGCUCACAAAGUCUUGAAGGGUGUUCAUACUAGCCUCAAGGAGUCUCAUGAUCAACUCCAAGUGAAGCUAACUAAGGAUAAAUCCACCUUUCCUCAUAUGGUGUUAGUUGAUAAUGCAAGUGCUACUAAUCCUUGUUGUGAGCAUGCGCAUCUUGUUGAGGAAAACGCUAAGUUGAAGGAGCAACUUGAGAAAGGCCUUGUGUCAUGCAUACAAGGCGAGAAGAACCUCAACGACCUUUUGAGCAAUCAAAAGGAAGUUGUGGCCAAGGAGGGGAUUGGGUUCGCACCCAAGCCCAAGAACAAGAAGAAGAAUGACAAGACCAAACGACCUCCUCCUCUCAAGCAAACUUUUGUGAAGGAGGGAGAGGGUGCUUCCAAGGAGAAGAAGAACAAUGCGAAGGGUGGCGGUGUCAAGAAGGGCAAUGCCACCCCUUCCAACAAAGCCGGCGACUUUAAUCCUUCUUAUGUGCUAUGUCGUGCUAGUGAUGGGCAUGUUUAUGCCAAAUUUGUUGGUUCUCCUCAUGAGUAUAUUGAAUGGUCUAUUUGGGUUCCUAAGACCCUUGUUACUAACAUCAAAGGACCCAUUACAAAAUGGGUACCUAAAACCAAGCAUUGAUCUCUUUUAGGUGUUUGCUUCCGGUGGGGGAUCAUGGUUGCUCGAUAGUGGAGCUACAAAUCAUAUGACCGGAAGCAAAGACUUGGUGGUGGACGUGCACAAGAUUCCAUCUAUGCCCACCAAUGUCGAGUGGGGUGAUGCCUCGUCUUCUAAGGUAUUGGGACUCGGCAAAGUUGUCAUUUCUCAUGAUCUCACGAUCGAGAAGGUCAUGCUAGUUGAGUCCCUUGCAUACAAUUUACUUUCCGUUCGUCAACUUGCUAUCAUGGGCUUUGCCACUUUCUUUGAUAUUGAUACCGUGGCCCUCUUGUGGAGCAAGACUCUUAAAGUAGCCUUUGUUGGGCAUGUCGAAAACGGUCUCUAUGUGAUUAACUUUUCGGAGCGACCCACUAGGACCGCGACAUUCCUAAUGGCUAAAGUUGACGUGGGAUGGCUUUGGCAUCGCCGGUUAGCCCAUGUCAAUAUGAGAUCUUUGCAAAGUCUUCUCAAGGGGGACCAUGUCCGUGGACUAACGAAUGUUAGUUUUGCUAAAGAUCGUGCUUGCAGUGCUUGUAUCGAAGGAAAGCUACAUGAGACGGCUCACCCUCCCACAACUAUCAUUUACUCGAAAAGGCCUUUGGAGCUCCUUCAUUUGGAUCUCUUUGGGCCUCCAUCCUUUGAUAGUCUUGGGGGUAGGAAGUAUUGCUUGGUGAUUUUGGAUGACUAUUCAAGAUACACUUGGGUGUACUUCUUCAAGAGGAAGAGCGAGACCCAACAAACCGUCAUUGACUUUGCGAAUGAAGCCCAACGUCAACACAAUACAAAGAUCUUGACAAUAAGGAGUGACAACGGCACCGAGUUCAAGAACUACACCUUGGAUGAGUUCCUUAGUGAUGAAGGGAUCAAGCAUCAAUAUUCCGCACCUUACACCCCUCAACAAAAUGGUGUUGCGGAGAGGAAGAACCGGACGUUGAUGGAUGCGGCAAGGACCAUGAUGGCGGAGUUCAAGUCUCUAUACAACUUUUGGGCUAAAGCCAUCAACACCGCGUGUCAUGCUUCAAAUCAGCUCUAUCUCCGCAAAGGCUUGAACAAGACUCCAUAUGAGAUACUCACCGGUAACAAGCCCAACCUCAAGUACUUUCGGGUGUUCGGGUGUAAGUGUUUCAUUCUCAAGAAAGGUGUUCGUUUGUCUAAAUUUGAGGCUAGAGCUCAUGAGGGCAUAUUUGUUGGUUAUGCUACAAACUCCCAUGCUUACCGUGUUCUCAAUAAGUCCACAUGACUUAUUGAGGAGACGUGUAACGUGGAGUUUGAUGAGAAUAACGGCUCCCAAGUGGAGCAAAGUGGUACUUGUGACGUAGGUGAUGAAAUUCCUCCCCAAGCUAUAAGAAGAAUGGGUGUUGGUUAUAUCCUACCCAUUGAGGAACCCCUUGUGGCCGAAGGAGAAGGACAAUGCUCCACUCAAGUGGAGCCAUCACCAACCCAAGACUCACACGCUUCCGAAGAACAAAGUGACGGCCCUCAACCCCAUGAACAAGAUCAAGGGCAAGAUCAACCUCAAGAUGGUGGUGAUCCACCAAAUGAUGCCCAAGGUCGAGUUCUCCCCCUCGAGCAUGUUCAAGAUCACGAGCAAGCUCUAGAUCAAGAACAAGCUCAAGACGACGCUCAAGAUGAUCAAGUAACCCCUCCUCGUUUCACUUCCGAGGAGGAAUUGGAGCGUCGUGCAGCUAAGAUCGCUUCCAAGCUCUCCACCAAAGGUCAUCUCAUGGAGAAUGUGGUUGGAAGCCUAAGAAAGGGGGUAAGCACUCGUAGACAAUUAGCAAACUAUUGUGAACAUCAUGCGUUUGUUUCUUGUGUCGAACCCCAAAAGGUGUAUGAAGCGCUCGAGGACCCGGAUUGGCUCAAUGCCAUGCAUGAAGAACUCAACAACUUCGAGCAUAACCAAGUGUGGAAAAUUAGUGCCAAGGCCAACCGGGAACCAUAAUGUCAUUGGAACCAAGUGGAUAUUCAAGAACAAGCAAGAUGCUCAUGGGAUCAUUGUUCGCAACAAGGCUCGUUUAGUGGCACAAGGCUACUCCCAAGUCGAGGGUAUCGACUACGGUGAAACCUUUGCUCCCGUCGCUCGCCUUGAAUCUAUUCGUUUGUUGAUUGCUUAUGCUUCUCAUCAUAAUUUCACGUUGCAACAAAUGGAUGUGAAGAGUGCUUUUCUUAAUGGUCCCAUAAAUGAGUUGGUGUAUGUCAAAAAAAACCCCGGGUUCGAAGAUCCCUAUUUCCCCGAUCAUGUGUAUCAACUCCAUAAGGCGCUCUAUGGCCUUAAACAAGCCCCACGUGCAUGGUAUGAGCAUCUUACGGAGUUGCUACAAGAUCGUGGAUUCGAAAUCGGGAAAAUCGACCCCACUCUUUUUACUAAGAAGGUCAAAGGGGAGUUGUUUGUAUGCCAACUAUAUGUUGAUGAUAUUAUUUUUGGUUCCCCUAACAAAGCUUUCAAUGAAGAAUUUGCCGCUCUCAUGACCUCAGAGUUCAAGAUGUCUAUGAUGGGAGAGUUGAAGUUCUUUCUCGGAUUCGAAAUCAAACAAAGAAGAGAAGGAAUCUUCAUCAACCAAGCCAAAUACACUCAAGACAUGCUAAAGAGAUUCAAGCUAAGUGAUGUCAAGCCAGCUUCGACUCCAAUGCCCACCAAGUGCCAACUUGACAUCGAUCCCAAUGGUAAAGCGGUGGAUCUAAAGGUAUAUCGCUCCAUGAUUGGAUCCUUGCUUUACCUUUGUGCAUCUAGACCGGAUAUCAUGUUGAGUAUGGGAAUUUGUGCACGGUUUCAAGCCGCACCUAAGGAAAGCCACUUUGUGGCGGUCAAGCGAAUCUUUCGAUAUUUGGCUCAUACCCCAAACUUUGGCUUAUGGUACCCAAGAGGAGCAAACUUCAAGCUUGUAGGUUAUUCGGACUCCGAUUGGGCGGGAGACAAAGUGGAUAGGAAGUCCACUUCCGGAGGGUGCCACUUUCUUGGUUGCUCUUUGGUAAGUUGGUCUUCUAAAAAGCAAAGUUGUGUGUCUCUCUCGUCCACCGAAGCGGAGUAUGUGGCGGCCGGGAGUUGUUGUGCACAACUCUUAUGGAUGAGGAAAACUUUAAAGGAUUACGGUGUCAUUUGUGACAAAGUGCCUCUUUGGUGUGACAAUGAAAGUGCCAUCAAGAUUUCUCUCAACCCGGUGCAACACUUCAAGACGAAGCAUAUUGAGAUUCGGUAUCACUUCAUCCGGGAUCAUAUUAGGCGAGGGGAGAUCGAGCUCAACUAUGUCAACACUCAUGAUAACCUUGCAGAUAUUUUCACGAAGCCAUUGGACGAAGCAAGAUUUCGCGAGUUAAGGCAUGAGCUAAAUAUCAUUGAUUCGAGCAAUGUGGUUUGAACCUUUGCACACCCCUCACAUUCAUCAUGCAUUCUUGUCUAGGUGUAGGCAUGGACAUAGGGGGAGUGUUGUUCUCUAAAUGAACUCUUCCUCCCCCCAUAAUGCAUAAACUAAUCUCACUCUUUCACAUUAGCCAUUUUUUAUGGUACUUGUGCUUCAAAGACGAGUUUUGGUCAUGAGCCCAAGGAUUAUUCUUCGCGGUGCCAUACCAAUUGACUCAAACAUAGGUGGCCUCGGCCACCGCCCCUUUCUUGAAGGGGUGUGUCUUCUGACCUCUUGCUAGUGUUCUUUGGGUGUCUCUUGGUUUUCUCUUCUUGCUGUCGUUUUCUUUUCUUUUCUUUUGUGCCGUGCUUGUUGAGUCUAGUUUUGAGUUGCGCUGGGCGGUACUACCGCUGUUGCUGCGCGGUACUAUCGCUUAGGUGCAUAAGCGGUACUACCGCCCUCAGCCGCGGUACUACCGCCCAUCACCGCGGUACUACCGCUGAGGGGCGGGACCAGGGGGUUAAGUCGUGGGCAGGGGUGGUUUCCUCCCCCCAUACCCAUUUGCUUCGUCCCCUCGUUCCUCUUCGUCUCUCCAGUGCCAUCUCGUCGCGGGAGGGCUCCGGCGGCCCUCCGUCUCCGGACCGUUUCUCUCCUUUUCCCUCGGUGGAGUCGAUCCCCACCUCGUCCUCUUGCCAUGGAUGCCGGUAUUGCCCCCGUUCCUCUUCUCUUCUUGUCUAAUUUUUAGAUCUCGUGUUUUAGGGGCAAUAGUGGUUGCAUCUCUAGAUUUUUGGCCAAAUCUAGGCUUGAGUAGGUUGGAGAAGGCAACUAGACUCUUUGGAUUGGUGUUUGGUAGGUUUAUUUUUGAAUUUGGCAUCCCCGGUAGUGCCGGAUCUGUCCACGGCAGUAGGGAUCCUCUGUGCCCCGUCUCAGGCGGUACUACCACCCCACCUGUGCGGUACUACCGCGCGAGCGGCACUAAGCUGUACUACCGCCCAUAUGGUGCGGUACUACUGCUGGAGCGGUACUGCCACUGUGCAGGCGCGGUACUACCGCCGGAUGCCCAAUUCCAUCAUUCCCUACCGCAUGUUGAUCCAUGUUUGUUGUGUUUAUUUGGUUUUGAUCGUUCCUUCUGGUUGUUUCAUGUGUCCGUGUGUUUGGUUCCAGGUGAUGAACAUCCUGAGCAGCAAGUCCGCCGUGUCAACCCCGGGCGUUCAACGUCAAAGCGAUACCGCUCAUCUGAGUCUGCAGGUGGUUCUUCCAGUGCUCCACCGCCGCCAGUGGGUGCUUCCUCAAGUGCUAAUCCUCAUCUCAAGAAGAAGACUGCCAACAGGCCGAAGUCAACUGGCAAGAAGGUGACUGAGAUGACUGCCAAGGAAUUCUGGGACAGGCGUCGCCGCAACCCAUAUGAGGAAGACCAAGAAUCCAACCUUGUCAAUCGCCCGUUCUGGAACCGGUUUCAGUAUGCCACCUACUUUGACGUGAUAAAGGCUAAGAAGAACCUCUUUUUCAAUGUUCAUUCCAUCAACAUGGAUGCUAUGGAGAAGGACCCGGAGUACUUUGGUGAUGCCCUUCAGAUGUGCUCUUAGUUGAACAUUCUCAGGAUCAUGCAGUUCAACAAGGACUUUGAUGCAGAUUUGGUGGCUCAGUUCUAUGCCACUGUCCACCUAGGAACUGAUGAAGAUAGGACUCUGACUUGGAUGACUAAUGGGAAGUUGCUAGCUGUCAAGUGGAAGGCCUUCAUGGAGUUGCUUGAGGUGGAAGAUCAAGGGCUCGAGACUCCAGUCGGGUUCCGUCCUCACCGCAAUGUUACCUCCACUCACAAGCAAGCCCUCUGGCCCUACUGUACUCUGAAGAUGAACCCUGAGACCAAGAAGGAAACCUAUGAGCUGUCUGCCUUUCUGGACAUCCUUCACCGUAUCUUCCGCGAGACUCUCUUCCCUCGUAUCGGGAAUCUGGACAUGGUUCACUCCUAUCUCGUGGACAUGAUUCUCUUCUGCCAGCGUGAGAAGGAAGCAAACACUGGCGAGUCCCUGGACAUCUCUCAUGUUAUGUGGUCUGAACUUCUGUCUACUGUUUCUGAGCGCAGGUGCCCGAUUUAUGCUCCGUUUAUCAUGUUGCUCAUUGAGAAGGCCUGGAGAAGUACCUAUCCCGAGGAAUUGCUGGAAACUGGAGAGUUGGUUUCUCAUGAGAUCAAGCGUCUGAGGAAGAAGGACAAUUGGGGCACCUCCAUUCCUAAAUCUGGGGUUCCUUCUUCUGCUGCCGCCAUGGAGACCGAGGGCGAGGCUGAUACUGGUGUUGACCAUGACUAUGUGCCUUCUGAGGCAGAGCCCUCUUGGGCAAAGAAGCUCAAGCUCAAGAUGAAGAAGCUGUUCUGCAUGGAGUCUCACGGUCAGUACAUGACACAUGUGGCUGAGAAGAAUGCCAGGGGACGCCACAAGGAUCUUAUGCGUCAGUUAGGUGCGACAGUCACCAGCGGCUCUGAGGGUCACAUCACUGAGGAGGAGGAGUGGAUCCAGCAGCACUGUCCGUGGACCGAUUCAGAUGCCGAGCAGUUUCCGACCGAGGACGGCGGUGCAGACGAUCACGCGGAGUACUGAUGUUCGAGAUCCUCAGCAUGCUCUCACCUGGAGCCGUAGGAGCGCUCUUUGCCCCUUUUGGUGUCUCGAUGCCAAAGGGGGAGAGAGUUUAGGGAUUUGCGUCGUUGUGUUGUGAGUGUGUCUGUGUGCUUUCGGUGUGUUUGCUUCCAUUUGCUUUGUUUGGUUUUGUGUUCCGUGAGACCUAAGUUUCAGACAUAUGGUGUGAGACAUAUGCUACCUUAUCCUUAUCAUAUCUUUAUCUAUGUCUCUUGUCAUUUAGUAUCUCAUGAGUAGCAUGCUUACUAUGUCAUAUUUCCUGCUCUCAUGUAUCACGCUUAGGUUGUUGGUCUCUAAAAUACAGGGGGAGUGUUGAUCCUAGUAUGUGUGCCGUGCAGUCCAAAGCACUUAUCUUGAUGGCACACAUCUAGGGGAGCCCGUUUAUAUUUUAGAGAUUUGGGGUCUGCUUAUGUCCUUUGUCUGUUCCCGUUUGUGCAAAUCCCGUAUUGUCAUCAAUCCACCAAAAAGGGGGAGAUUGUAAGGGCAUUUGUAUCCCUUAGAUGUUUUGGUGAUUGAUGACAAUGCUUUUGCGGACUAAUCGUGUGCAUUGAGUUUUUCAGAGAUUCAUCCUUUGGCACGAGACGAUUCCCUCCCCUCGGAGUUUGAAGCGAAGACGGUGUAGUACUUUCGAAUUAGUUUGGUGGACUAGUUUCGUAGGGAUCAUCGUACUAUCAAGAGGAGGUCCGCUUUGGAAAGGCUAGGGUGGAAUCAUCACGUACACUUCCUUUGCACACCCUCCGAGCCUUUCUGCUUCAUUGAUGAGCUCGUUCCCCUCUCUCAGUGUGCCCUCUCUGGUCCCAGCGGUAGUACCGCUUGGGUGCUACAAGCGGCAGUACCGCUCCACAGCGGUAGUACCGCUGCGGCUUCGUGCUAGUACCGCCUCGAUUCGAAGGGUCUUUUUCCGUGUCGGGUUUUACGGUACUAGCCGCGGCAGUGGGGGCGGUAGUACCGCUCGUGUGCGGUAGUACCGCCCUGACCACCGCGGUAGUACCACUCUGGGCCCAGCGGCAGUACCGCGAGGGGGAGCGGUAGUACCGCUGGCCAAGCGGUAGUACCGCUCUCUGCGGGGCUGAAGUGGGGGGUAACGGUUGGAUUGCUCCCCCCACUAUAAAAGGGGGUCUUCUUCCCCAAAGUUGACCUACCUCUUCCCCCAAAAGCUCCAUUGUUGCUCCAAGCUCCAUUUUCGCCCGAUCUCUCUCCCUAGCCAAUCAAACUUGUUGAUUUGCUCGGGAUUGGUUGAGAAGGCCCGAUCUAUACUUCCACCAAGAGAAAUUUUGAUUCCCCCCCACUAAUCCCUAGCGGAUCUUGUUACUCUUGGGUGUGUGAGCACCCUAGACGGCUGAGGUCACCACGGAGCCAUAGUCCAUUGUGGUGAAGCUUCGUGGUGUUGUUGGGAGCCUCCAAUUAAGUUGUGGAGAUUUCCCCAACCUUGUUUGUAAAGGUUCGGUCGCCGCCUUCAAGGGCACCAAUAGUGGAAUCACGGCAUCUCGCAUUGUGUGAGGGCGUGAGGAGAAUACGGUGGCCCUAGUGGCUUCUUGGGGAGCAUUGUGCCUCCACACCGCUCUAACGGAGACGUACUUCCCCUCAAAAGGAAGGAACUUCGGUAACACAUCCUUGUCUCCACCGGCUCCACUCUUGGUUAUUUCUUACCUUUACUUGUGCACGCUUAUAUUGUGUUGUAUCCCUUUCUUGCUUGUGCGCUUGUUGUUGUUGCAUCAUAUAGGUUGCUCACCUAGUUGCAUAUCUAGACAACCUACUUUGAUGCAAAGUUUAAAUUGGUAAAGAAAAGCUAAAAAAAUUUAGUUGCCUAUUCACCCCCCCUCUAGUCAACUAUAUCGAUCCUUUCAUCCGUUCCAUUUACAGACGCGGAUGCUUCAAGUCUUGAGAAACAUGCUGCCCGGGUUUUCACGCCUUGUAUGUUUGAGCUGGUUAGAUGGAGCAUAAAUGCCGUCAGCAAAUGUGUUAUCAGCGAGAUACUAGACGCAUGGGAGUUGACUACAUAUGUUGUCGCUAAGAUCGAUAGAAGGGAGAAGAAGUUCGAAGUGCGCUGUAAGGUGAAGGAAGGUUCUUUGUACAGGAUCAGUUGCUCUUGUCAUAAGCUGGAAUGCUUGGGAACACCAUGCUCUCACAUAUUCUACAUCUUGGGAAUACGUCAAGUGGAACUGCUGCCUAGGUGUUGUGUUCCCAUGAGGUGGACGAUGAGUGCGAAGUCAGCAUUCCCUCCGACCAGAAAGAGCGAGAUGUAUGACUAUUCAGAAAGCCUUGUGAGGUACCGUGAGUUGCGGAAUUUGAGUCACGCGACAUGUUUCUGCGCAUGUCAAUCCAGUGAGGAGUAUCAGCGUCUGAAGACGGUUCUGAAUGCACAAGAUGGCAGCAAGGAAUCAAGCCGUGGUCAGGAGGAAUGCAUUAUGUUUGGUCCGGUGCUGCCACAGAUGACGGAAAUUGAUUGUGCAGAUUUGGAAAAGGUUCUAGACCCAGUGCAUGUGCAAGGCCGAGGUGCACCGAAGAAAAGGUUGCAGGCAAAGAUGAAGAAGCAAAGAUCAAAGAGGAAAUGUGGCUACUGUGGGGUGGAAGGCCAUGAUCGGCGUAUAUGCACUAAAUUGGAAGAGGUGUCAAAUAUGUCUAUUUUUUAUUUUGUGUCUGCUUUACUCAUUAAUAUAGUGCACUAAUUAUAUUUGUUGCUGUGUAGGAAGUGAUGGGCUGAUGGCAGCAAACUGUUAGGUACAACUCUCUAUACAAGGGAUUUCGUGGUAGGAAACUGUUGCGCUUGUGGUCCUGCUAUGAAGUAUUAAUUACUGCAAGUAUGACCGUGCUUGAAUAACAUCAGUGUUAGUUGUCAAUUCAUGUAUCAUAUUUGUCUUUUAAUAGUAUUAUUAGGUUGGCUUCCAUAUAUUUCUAAUAUAAAAACAAUUGUUGGUUGGCCGAGCAAAGAAUGAAACUGUCUGCAUGUUACUUAUUAAUAACUUGAAACGGACCACUGUUUUGAGAUGUACAGUAUAUGUUCACAGAAUUAUAAAAUUUCUGCAGUAUAUGAUGAUACUUCUUUCUGAAAAUGAGAUUGCAAUAUGUAGUUGAGAUCCGGUGUUGUAAUUGCGACAUCACACUUUCUGCCGACGCUAUGCAAUUUCUUAAACUUUUGUAAAUAUUUCUCCAUAUUCUUCAGGUGACCCGAAGUGGCAGGCAGCUACAUGUUGGUCUGCUGAGAAGAUCAAACGCACUAAGAAGAUCAAGCAGGCAGAGGAAAAAGUCUAUGGUUCUAGAUUCUCAAGCAAGGCAGCGAAGACUAAUGGUAGCAAGGCAGGGUGUGCUUGUCUGUAAAAAAAACAUCGGAGAUUUAAUGGCAGCUGAUCAUGUAGUAAAAACAUCAUACGUUGAAGACAUGUGGGAGGUUGAAGAUGAUGUUUGAUGAGUUAUUGGCUUUCAUGUGUAUGUAGUCAUUUCUCCGGUUGUUGUAAUUGAACACAUGCAUGUGUGUGUCUGUUUGUGUGCCGCUAUUAUCCCACUCCUCUAGGUUCUCUGCUUUAGUUUGUCGUGGCCAGCUAUUAGCCCCCUCCUAUAGAUUCAGAGUUCUUUUACAACAAAUCAGAGAAGGUUAGGUAAUAUUUAUGAUAGAUGGAGAGGUGAUCACAGAGCAGCCAAAAUAUAAUGUCCUGAAUGUCAAACAGAACAAAGCAGUCCCAAAACUGAUGCGAGCCGGCUUGACUUUUUUGUUCCAACUUGUUUUCUUUUUUCUUCUUUUUUUUGCUCUUUUUUUUGUUCUCUUUUUUUGCUCUUUUUUUGGUUCUCUUUUUAUGUUUUUUCUGUUUUUUUAUCAAGCCGGUUACUAGCAGACUAUGUAUCCACACAAAAUUAGAGCUGACAGAGAAAAGGGAAAAAAAUAUUGGUGAGACGUGUGACACGGAAGCUAGCGUUGUGCUAGUAGCAAAAGUGAGGCAUGUAUGAUGAUGUGCUGCAUAGACAAGACCAGCGUACAAGGAGAGAGAAAAAAGAAGAAGAAAAAAAAACAGCAGCGCUGCAGGGCAGACACGGCUCAGCUUGAUGUCUGGGUUCUGGCGUUAAGUGCUGAGGCGCAUGCAAGAUGGCAGACACAUGAGCUGGAUGUAUGGGCGUGUGGUUUAGACUAGCCACAAUGGGUAGUAACAUAGAGUAGUAACAUGGACAUGUUACUACUCUAUGUUACUACCUCUAUAGUGGAGAGUAACAUAUGUGUGGUAACAUGCAACACUUCAUUUAUUAGGCUAUAGACUCAUCUUGCCUUGAUAUGUGUGAUGUUACUCAUACUAGUACUAGUAACUAGCUAUGUUACCACAUCUCUCUCUUUCUUCAUUUAUUGCUUACCACAUCAUCUAUUUUAUCUAGAUAUAUGUGAUGUUACUACCUAUGUUACUCCCAUUGUGGGUAGUCUUAGCGGCGCUUGAGUGACAGACAGAGCGCGCUUGUAUGUCUCGGGUCGCGAGAAGCGCGAUGCGGUAGGCUGAUCUGCGCGUGUGGUGAUGAUCACCGCAAUCUUUUUUUUUGCUUUGCAGAUUGAGAACUAGGGUUGCUUUACAAAUUGCACCAAAAUUUUAAGCUAAUACUCUUUGCCUGUCUCAUGAAAUGUGUAGUGACAUUCUUAGUAAAACUGGUCGUUUAAUUGACGUUAUGAACAUAAAACUGGUUUGGACUAGUGUAGCACAUGCAAUACAAAAAUAGUAAAAGCCACAAUUAAGUGUGCGGGCAUCAAAGGAACCUUUCAUCUAAAAAUUGAGCAACAACUCAAAGUGUUGAAAGCCUAUUAUUAUAAACAUAGUCUCACAAUUGUCACUUCAAUGAAGUGAUUGUUGGUUCGAAAAUAAUGAAAAAACUACUUGGGACAAUAGUUCAGCUCUAAAGUUUGAAAUUGUAGAAAAACCAAAAUCCUACUGAAGAGGCUCGUCACUGCUGCCGAAAUCCAAUGCCUUCUUCGGAUUGUUAUCUGCAAGUUUCUUCCUUUUGGGCGAUGACCCAUAUUCGCCCAAGUCCCUCUCGCCGAUAUCCAUGUACCCACAUGCAUAUAUGUCUUCUUCGAACAUGUCCUGCCCAAAUGCAUGCGAAAGGUAUUUAUGCAAAUGAUGUGGCCAUUUUUUGUAUAAUAAAUAGGAACUUGGCAAUAUAACCAACCUGUUCAGACAUCUCAUCAUCGCUAUUAUCUAAGAAUGCACAAUUCUUCACAAUGUACAAAUGACAUUUCUUUAUCCCUUCUAAAGCGUGCAACAUUUCAUCGACGUCAUGCUGGCCUGACAUCUGUACCAUUCCUUCAGGUGGUACGCACCCAGGCUUGAUGUAGUACAAAUCUGCUUCCCGUUUGUACCCAUGGUAACGCAAAUUUUUCACCAUUAUCUGCCAGUCCACCUUGCCAGGUUCAACUACUGUCGUCAUACCAGGUUUCUUGUUGUGGUAUGCUUGAGGAACAUGAGAAAGUUCUUCGUCCACAUGAACAAUAAAUUGCAUUACAACUACCUACAUACGACUCAUUGACAUCAGUUUUUGCACAAUAUUAAAGUGUUCAUACGUACGAUGUGCAUACCAUUUGUAAAACAUACUUACUCGGUGACGUGGUGAUGAGACAGAUUGUUCCGGUGGUGGGAUGUCGCAUUUUGCCUGCCGAGGUGGUGAUGAGACAGAUUGCUCUGGUGAACGGAUGUCUUGUUCUGCCUGUAGAGGUACUGAUGAGACAUAUUGCUCUGGUGUAGGGAUGUCUUGUUGUGCCUGAGCAUGCUGUUGAUAUAAAUUGAUUUUGGUUUGUGUGUGGAUAAUUUAAUGAAUAAUAAGUAAAUAAUGAAAGGUACCUUCGUGCCUGUACUAGCAUGGUCUUGCAUCAUACCCCCUUCCAUGCGGAUCUCCUCCAUCUUGGCCUUGUCAUCCUGCUGAGCCUGCUGUGGUUACAAACUGAUUUUGCUUUGUAUGUGGAUAACAUACUGAAUAAUAAUCUUAGUAAAUAAAGGAACGUACCUUCAGACGUGUAUUAGCACGGUCCUGCAUCGUAUUUCCUUCCAUGCGGAUCUGCUCCAUCUUGGCCUUGUAAUCCAGAUCAUUGUGGUCCUCUGGUAAGUUAAGGUCCAUGCCCGCACGCGUCUGCAUGUUAUUGAAGCCCAUCUUACCACGCUCGAGAUGUAGAACGCGGUCUUGCAUCAUAUUCCCUUCCAUGCAGAUCCCCUCCAUCUUGGCCUUGUGAUUCAUGUCAUUACGCUCCUGCUGCAACAUACGAUCCAUGUUCACACGCGCCUGCAUGAUAUUGAAUUCCAUCCUGCCACGCUCGAGCUGCAUAGCGCGAUCCAGGUCCUUGCGCUCCUUCUUCAACUUUAGGUCCAUAUCGUCAUGGAAAUGCUUCAACCUCUGAUCCAUGGCUGCACGCUCCUCAGUCAUCAUCUGUUCCACGGCUGCACGCUCCUUCUUUCUCAUGCGGUUCACGGUUGCCCGCUCCUGCUUCAGAUUCUUGUCCAUCACCUCUCGCUCUCGCUGCAUAUUCUUGUCCAUCUCUUGACGCGCCUGAUGCAAGUACUUGUCAUCAUCCACUCGGUUGUGCUGUGCCUUUGAAUCCAUGGUCCCUGUAGAAAGCAACAGAACAGUGCUAGUUACAAUAUAUUUGAAAAUUGAAAUAUCUAUUAAUUUCAAACUGUCACUAUUCAACACAAUGUGGCCGAACUGAAGGUACGGAGUGUUUGGUGCUAGGUCCUAGGUGCACUAUAUAGAUCAAAUUACUAACUCCCAUACUGCUACAAUUUAGAGAAAUUAUUAGAUUUCUGUAUUUUAGUUUAGUGCAUGCGAUGUGCCACUAAAAGGAUCCGCAGAUCGGCCGCCGUGGCACCGUCCGCAUCCACUGUAUUAAUUGAAUCUGAUUGGUAAUAAGAGGGAGGGAAACACCAUAUGUGUACAUACAGUUCGGUUGCGGAGCACCGGGUCGCCGGACGCGGAGGAGAGGACAUCGUCGGGCGUGGAGGAGAGAGAGCCGCCGCCUGAUGAACUGCUCCCGAUGGGAUUUGCGUCUGUGGCUAGGUUUACGUACGUGGCUGGUAAGUUGGGCUGCUAAGUACUAUAUAGGCAAUUCUAUUACGUAUAUGGAUUGGGCUGGUAAGUACUAUAUGGGCUUUUGUGCUCACGUGGAUCAAAUAUCGUAAAUCUGAAAUAACAAAAUGUUCUUGUUACUUAAAAGAUACUUCAACUCAAAAAAAAACUUAAAAGAAACCUUGUCUAAAAAAAGCUUAAAAGAAACCUUGUCUAAAAAAAGCUUAAAAGAAACUUAAAAAAAUCCUUCUCUUUUGCACACUGUAGCGGAGGCAUUACUCGUUCGGACUCACCACUACGGGUAGUCGUAGUCUGAAACACCCACCAGCACCGGUAGUCAGGGUCGAGAAAGACCGUUAUAGAAGUUGUGUGCCAGGAGUUUUGGGUUCGGAAUACACAGAGUGGUGAUAGCCAACUGUUGUCGGGUAGUCCAAGUCAGAAUCAUCGAUAACUAACGGUAGUCGGGGUACAGACGAGGAGUACUUGAAGUGCUAUUGGUGGAACCGCACAGCUGGCCACCCAUUGUGCUAAAAGGGAUCCGGGGAUCAAUAGUGGUACUGGUAGUAUCAGACGACUCAUCGUGGUAGUGAUGUAUCUGGAUGACCCGUAGUACUAGACGUAAAGAGCCAUGGUCGUGGUACUACCUGUAGCGGAUGACCCACAACUACCAGUCGGACCGCCGAGCUACCCACCCAUGUGAAAGUAGUUUUGGGUUCGGAGUACCCGUAGUGGUGAUAGCCAGCUGCUGUCAUGAGAAUCGGUCUUACUCGUUGAGAGUGACUCGUGGUGUUAACAUUUCCGGAUGACCCAUUGUGCUAAAAGGGUUACAGGGAUCAAUAGUGCUAUUGAUAAUAUACGACACAUGGUGGUACUGAUGUACCCGGAUGACCCAUAGUACUUGGUACUGCUGCAGACGCCGUUGGUGAGUCCGUCAGGAUGGGGGAGAGCACGUGCCUCAAGACUACUGUCAAAUUUGCUCGCGCCGUGAUUGAGGUGUUUGGACCGAAGUAUCUCAGAGAACCAAAUGCACGGGACACGGGAGAAGUUGUUGGCUAUUGGACAGGCAAGGGGGUUUCCAAGAAUGCUCGGAUCAAUUGAUUGCAUGUAGUGGCAAUGGAAAAACUGCCCCAAAGGUCCGCGGGUAAUGUAUCAAGGUCACACCAGAGAGGCCACCAUCAUACUAGAAGCGGUGGCAUCACAUGACUUAUGGAUUUGGCAUGAUUUCUUUGGAAUGCCCGGUUCUCACAACGGCAUCAACGUGCUUCAACGAUCUCCGGUGUUCAGGAGGCUUUGCAAUGGGGAAUCACCGCCGUGCAACUACGCCUGUCAACGGCCGGGACUACAACAUGGGGUACCUGUUGGAAAUAUGCCCUAGAGGCAAUAAUAAAAUGGUUAUUAUUAUAUUUCCUUGUUCAUGAUAAUUGUCUAUUGUUCAUGCUAUAAUUGUGUUAUCCGGAAAUCGUAAUACAUGUGUGAAUACAUAGACCACAACAUGUCCCUAGUGAGCCUCUAGUUGACUAGCUCGUUGAUCAAAAGAUAGUCAUGGUUUCCUGACUAUGGACAUUGGAUGUCAUUGAUAACGGGAUCACAUCAUUAGGAGAAUGAUGUGACGGACAAGACCCAAUCCUAAGCAUAGCACAAGAUCGUGUAGUUCGUUUGCUAGAGCUUUUCCAAAUGUCAAGUAUCAUUUCCUUAGACCAUGAGAUUGUGCAACUCCCGGAUACCAUAGGAGUGCUUUGGGUGUGCCAAACGUCACAUGUAACUGGGUGGCUAUAAAGGUGCACUACGGGUAUCUCCGAAAGUGUCUGUUGGGUUGGCACGAAUCGAGACUGGGAUUUGUCACUCCGUAUGACGGAGAGGUAUCUCUGGGCCCACUCGGUAAUGCAUCAUCAUAAUGAGCUCAAUGUGACCAAGUGUUUGGUCACGGGAUCAUGCAUUACGGUACGAGUAAAGUGACUUGACGGUAACGAGAUUGAACAAGGUAUUGGGAUACCGACGAUCGAAUCUCGGGCAAGUAACGUACCGAUUGACAAAGGGAAUUGUAUACGGGAUUGAUUGAAUCCUCGACAUCGUGGUUCAUCCGAUGAGAUCAUCGUGGAACAUGUGGGAGCCAACAUGGGUAUCCAGAUCCCGCUGUUGGUUAUUGACCGGAGAGUCGUCUCGGUCAUGUCUGCAUGUCUCCCGAACCCGUAGGGUCUACACACUUAAGGUUCAGUGACGCUAGAGUUGUAGAGAUAUUAGUAUGCGGUUAACCGAAAGUUGUUCGGAGUCCCGGAUGAGAUCCCGGACGUCACGAGGAGUUCCGGAAUGGUCUGGAGGUAAAGAUUUAUAUAUGGGAAGUCCUAUUUUGGCCACCGGAAAAUGUUCGGGAUUUUUCGGUAUUGUACCGGGAAGGUUCUAGAAGGUUCCGAAGUGGGGCCCACCUGCAUGGGGGGACCCACAUGAACGUGGGUAGUGGGGGCAAGGCCCCACACCCCUGGUCAAGGCGUACCAAGAUCCCACCUUAGCAGGAAUAAGAUCAUAUCCCGAAGGGAUAGAUCAAGAUCCCUAAAAAGGGGGGAUAACAAUCGGUGGGGAAGGGAAAUGAUGGGAUUUCUUUCCCCCACCUUUGCCAACGCCCCAAUGGACUUGGAGGGCAAGAAACCAGCCCCCUCCACCCCUAUAUAUAGUGGGGAGGCGCAUGGGAGCAGCACCCAAAGCCCUGGCGCCUCCCUCCCUCCCGUGACACCUCUUCCUCCCCGCUUGCGCUUGGCGAAGCCCUGCCGGGAUCCCGCUACUUCCACCACCACGCCGUCGUGCUGCUGGAUCUCCAUCAACUUCUCCUCUCCCCUUGCUGGAUCAAGAAGGAGGAGACGUCCCCGCUCCGUACGUGUAUUGAACGCGGAGGUGCCAUCCGUUCGGCGUUAGGAUCAUCGGUGAUUUGGAUCACGACGAGUACGACUCCAUCAACCCCGUUCUCUUGAACGCUUCCGCGCGCGAUCUACAAGGGUAUGUAGAUGCACUCCCCUCUCUCUCUCGUUGCUAGAUGACUCCAUAGAUUGAUCUUGGUGAUACGUAGAAAAUUUUAAAUUUCUGCUACGAUCCCCAACAGUGGCAUCAUGAGCUAGGUCUAUGCGUAGUUUCUAUGCACGAGUAGAACACAAACUUGUUGUGGGCGUAGAUGUUGUCAAUUUUCUUGCCACUACUAGUAUUAUCUUGUUUCGGCGGCAUCGUGGGAUGAAGCGGCCCGGACCGACCUUACACGUACGCUUACGUGAGACAGGUUCCACCGACUGACAUGCACUAGUUGCAUAAGGUGGCUAGCGGGUGUCUGUCUCUCCCACUUUAGUCGAAUCGGAUUCAAUGAAAAGGGUCCUUAUGAAGGGUAAAUAUAAGUUGGCAUAUCACGUUGUGGUUUUACGUAGGUAAGAAACAUUCUUGCUAGAAACCUAUAGAAGCCACGUAAAAACAUGCAACAACAAUUAGAGGAUGUCUAACUUGUUUUUGCAGCAUAUGCCUUGUGAUGUGAUAUGGCCAAAAGGAUGUGAUGAAUGAAAUAUAUGUGAUGUAUGAGAUUGAUCAUGUUCUUGUAAUAGGAAUCACGACUUGCAUGUCGAUGAGUAUGACAACCGGCAGGAGCCAUAGGAGUUGUCUUUAUUUUUUGUAUGACCUGCGUGUCAUUGAAUAACGCCAUGUAAAUUACUUUACUUUAUUGCUAAACACGUUAGCCAUAGAAGUAGAAGUAAUCGUUGGCGUGACAACUUCAUGAAGACACGAUGAUGGAGAUCAUGGUGUCAUGCCGGUGACGAAGAUGAUCAUGGCGCCCCGAAGAUGGAGAUCAAAGGAGCAAUAUGAUACUGGCCAUAUCAUGUCACUAUUUGAUUGCAUGUGAUGUUUAUCAUGUUUUACAUCUUAUUUGCUUAGAACGACGCUAGCUUAAAUAAGAUGACCCAUCGCAAUAAUUUCAAGAAAGUGUUCCCCCUAACUGUGCACCGUUGCGAAGGUUCGUUGUUUCGAAGCACCACAUGAUGAUCGGGUGUGAUAGAUUCUAACGUUCGAAUACAACGGGUGUAAGCCAGAUUUACACACGCAAUACACUUAGGUUGACUUGACGAGCCUAGCAUGUACAGACAUGGCCUCGGAACACGGAAGACCGAAAGGUCGAGCAUGAGUCGUAUAGAAGAUACGAUCAACAUGAAGAUGUUCACCGAUGUUGACUAGUCCGUCUCACGUGAUGAUCGGACACGGCCUAGUUAACUCGGAUCAUGUUUCACUUAGAUGACUAGAGGGAUGUCUAUCUGAGUGGGAGUUCAUUGAAUAAUUUGAUUAGAUGAACUUAAUUAUCAUGAACUUAGUCUAAUAUCUUUACAAUAUGUCUUGUAGAUCAAAUGGCCCACGUUGCCCUCAACUUCAACGCGUUCCUAGAGAAAACCAAGCUGAAAGAUGAUGGCAACAACUAUACGGACUGGGUCCGGAACCUGAGGAUCAUCCUCAUAGCUGCCAAGAAAGAUUAUGUCCUAGAAGCACCGCUAGGUGAAGCACCCAUCCCAGAGAACCAAGAUGUUAUGAACGCUUGGCAAUCACGUGCUGAUGAUUACUCCCUCGUUCAGUGCGGCAUGCUUUACAGCUUAGAACCGGGGCUCCAAAAGCGUUUUGAGAAACACAGAGCAUAUGAGAUGUUCGAAGAGCUGAAAAUGGUUUUCCAAGCUCAUGCCCGGGUCGAGAGAUAUGAAGUCUCCGACAAGUUCUUCAGUUGUAAAAUGGAGGAAAAUAGUUCUGUCAGUGAGCACAUACUCAAAAUGUCUGGGUUACACAACCGCUUGUCUCAGCUGGGAGUUAAUCUCCCGGAUGACGCGGUCAUUGACAGAAUCCUUCAGUCGCUUCCACCGAGCUACAAGAGCUUUGUGAUGAACUUCAAUAUGCAGGGGAUGGAAAAGACCAUUCCUGAGGUAUAUUCAAUGCUGAAAUCAGCGGAGGUGGAGAUCAAAAAGGAACAUCAAGUGUUGAUGGUGAAUAAAACCACUAAGUUCAAGAAAGGCAAGGGUAAGAAGAACUUCAAGAAGGACGGCAAGGGAGUUGCCGCGCCCGGUAAGCCAGUUGCCGGGAAGAAGCCAAAGAAUGGACCCAAGCCUGAGACUGAGUGCUUUUAUUGCAAGGGAAGUGGUCACUGGAAGCGGAACUGCCCCAAGUACUUAGCGGACAAGAAGGCCGGCAACACCAAAGGUAUAUGUGAUAUACAUGUUAUUGAUGUGUACCUUACCAGCACUCGUAGUAGCUCCUGGGUAUUUGAUACCGGUGCGGUUGCUCAUAUUUGUAACUCAAAGAAGGAGCUGCGGAAUAAACGGAGAUUGGCAAAGGACGAGGUGACGAUGCGCGUCGGGAAUGGUUCCAAGGUCGAUGUGAUCGCCGUCGGCACGCUACCUCUACAUUUACCUACGGGAUUAGUUUUAAACCUCAAUAAUUGUUAUUUAGUGCCAGCUUUGAGCAUGAACAUUGUAUCAGGAUCUCGUUUAAUUCGAGAUGGCUACUCAUUUAAAUCCGAGAAUAAUGGUUGUUCUAUUUAUAUGAGAGAUAUGUUUCAUGGUCAUGCCCCGCUGGUUAAUGGUUUAUUCUUAAUGAAUCUCGAACGUAGUGUUACACAUAUUCAUAGUGUGAAUACCAAAAGAUGUAAGGUUGAUAAUGAUAGUCCCGCAUACUUGUGGCACUGCCGUCUUGGUCACAUUGGUGUCAAACGCAUGAAGAAGCUCCAUGUAGAUGGACUUUUGGAGUCUCUUGAUUACGAAUCAUUUGACACGUGCGAACCAUGCCUCAUGGGUAAGAUGACCAAGACUCCGUUCUCCGGAACAAUGGAGCGAGCAACCAACUUAUUGGAAAUCAUACAUACUGAUGUGUGCGGUCCAAUGAGUGUUGAGGCUCGCGGUGGCUAUCGUUAUGUUCUCACUCUCACUGAUGACUUGAGUAGAUAUUGGUAUGUCAACCUAAUGAAACACAAGUCUGAGACCUUUGAAAAGUUCAAGGAAUUUCAGAGUGAGGUUGAGAAUCAACGUGACAGGAAAAUAAAGUUCUUCCGAUCAGAUCGUGGAGGGGAAUAUUUGAGUCACGGAUUUGGCACACACUUAAGGAAAUGUGGAAUAGUUUCACAACUCACGCCGCCUGGAACACCUCAGCGAAAUGGUGUGUCCGAACAUCGUAAUCGCACUCUAUUGGAUAUGGUGCGAUCUAUGAUGUCUCUUACCGAUCUACUGCUCUCAUUUUGGGGCUAUGCUUUAGAGACUGCCGCAUUCACUUUAAAUAGGGCUCCAUCGAAAUCCGUUGAGACGACACCGUGUGAAUUAUGGUUUGGGAAGAAACCUAAGCUUUCGUUUCUAAAAGUUUGGGGAUGCGAUGCUUAUGUCAAGAAACUUCAACCUGAAAAGCUCGAACCCAAGUCGGAAAAAUGCGUCUUCAUAGGAUACCCUAAGGAAACCAUUGGUCAUACCUUCUACCUUAGAUCCGAAGGCAAGAUCUUUGUUGCCAAGAACGGGUCCUUUCUGGAGAAAGAGUUUCUCUCGAAAGAAGUAAGUGGGAGGAAAGUGGAACUUGAUGAAGUACUACCUCUUGAACCGGAAAGUAGCGCAGCUUAGGAAGAUGUUCCUGUGGUGCCUGCACUGACUAGAGAGGAAGCUAAUGAUGAUGAUCAAGGUACUUCGGAUCAAGUUACUACUGAACUUCGUAGGUCCACGAGGACACGUUCCACACCAGAGUGGUAUGGCAACCCUGUCCUGGAAAUCAUGUUGUUAGACAAUGGUGAACCUUCGAACUAUGAAGAAGCAAUGGCGGGCCCAGAUUCCAACAAAUGGCUUGAAGCCAUGCAAUCCGAGAUAGGAUCCAUGUAUGAAAACAAAGUGUGGACUUUGACAGACUUGCCCGAUGAUCGGCGAGCGAUAGAAAACAAAUGGAUCUUUAAGAAGAAGACGGACGCGGAUGGUAAUGUUACCAUCUAUAAAGCUCGACUUGUCGCUAAGGGUUAUCGACAAGUUCAAGGGGUUGACUACGAUGAGACUUUCUCACCCGUAGCGAAGCUGAAGUCCGUCCGAAUCAUGUUAGCAAUUGCCGCAUACUAUGAUUACGAGAUAUGGCAAAUGGACGUCAAAACGGCAUUCCUUAACGGCUUUCUUAAGGAAGAAUUGUAUAUGAUGCAGCCGGAAGGUUUUGUCGAUCCUAAGAAUACUAACAAGGUAUGCAAGCUCCAGCGCUCCAUCUAUGGGCUGGUGCAAGCAUCUCAGAGUUGGAACAUUCGAUUUGAUGAGAUGAUCAAAGCGUUUGGGUUUACACAGACUUAUGGAGAAGCCUGUGUUUACAAGAAAGUGAGUGGGAGCUUUGUAGCAUUUCUCAUAUUAUAUGUGGAUGACAUACUGUUGAUGGGAAAUGAUAUAGAAUUCUUGGGAAGCAUAAAUGCCUACUUGAACAAGUGUUUUUCAAUGAAGGACCUUGGAGAAGCUGCUUAUAUAUUAGGCAUCAAGAUCUAUAGAGAUAGAUCAAGACGCCUCAUUGGUCUUUCACAAAGUACGUACCUUGACAAGAUAUUGAAGAAGUUCAAUAUGGAUCAGUCCAAGAAGGGGUUCUUGCCUGUAUUGCAAGGUGUGCAAUUGAGCACGGCUCAAUGCCCGACCACGGCAGAAGAUAGAGAAAAGAUGAGUGUCGUCCCCUAUGCCUCGGCCAUAGGGUCUAUUAUGUAUGCCAUGCUGUGUACCAGACCUGAUGUAAACCUUGCCGUAAGUUUGGUAGGAAGGUACCACAGUAAUCCCGGCAUGGAACACUGGACAUCGGUCAAGAAUAUCCUGAAGUACCUGAAGAGGACUAAGGAUAUGUUUCUCGUUUAUGGAGGUGACGAAGAGCUCGUCGUAAAGGGUUACGUCGAUGCUAGCUUCGACACAGAUCUGGAUGACUCUACGUCACAAACCGGAUACGUGUAUAUUUUGAAUGGUGGGGCAGUAAGCUGGUGCAGUUGCAAGCAAAGCGUUGUGGCGGGGUCUACAUGUGAAGCGGAAUACAUGGCGGCCUCAGAGGCAGCACAAGAAGCAAUCUGGAUGAAGGAGUUCAUUACCGACCUAGGAGUUAUUCCCAAUGCGUCGGGCCCGAUGACUCUCUUCUGUGACAACACUGGAGCUAUUGCCCUUGCCAAGGAGCCCAGGUUUCACAGGAAGACCAGGCAUAUCAAGCGUCGCAUGAACUCCAUUCGUGAAAGUGUUCAAAAUGGAGACAUAUAUAUUUGUAAAGUACAUACGGACCUGAAUGUAGCAGAUCCGUUGACUAAACCUCUCCCUAGAGCAAAACAUGAUCAACACCAGAACUCUAUGGGUGUUCGAUUCAUCACAAUGUAACUAGAUUAUUGACUCUAGUGCAAGUGGGAGACUGUUGGAAAUAUGCCCUAGAGGCAAUAAUAAAAUGGUUAUUAUUAUAUUUCCUUGUUCAUGAUAAUUGUCUAUUGUUCAUGCUAUAAUUGCGUUAUCCGGAAAUUGUUAUACAUGUGUGAAUACAUAGACCACAACAUGUCCCUAGUGAGCCUCUAGUUGACUAGCUCGUUGAUCAACAGAUAGUCAUGGUUUCCUGACUAUGGACAUUGGAUGUCAUUGAUAACGGGAUCACAUCAUUAGGAGAAUGAUGUGAUGGACAAGACCCAAUCCUAAGCAUAGCACAAGAUCGUGUAGUUCGUUUGCUAGAGCUUUUCCAAAUGUCAAGUAUCAUUUCCUUAGACCAUGAGAUUGUGCAACUCCCGGAUACCAUAGGAGUGCUUUGGGUGUGCCAAACGUCACAUGUAACUGGGUGGCUAUAAAGGUGCACUACGGGUAUCUCCGAAAGUGUCUGUUGGGUUGGCACGAAUCGAGACUGGGAUUUGUCACUCCGUAUGACGGAGAGGUAUCUCUGGGCCCACUCGGUAAUGCAUCAUCAUAAUGAGCUCAAUGUGACCAAGUGUUUGGUCACGAGAUCAUGCAUUACGGUACGAGUAAAGUGACUUGCCGGUAACGAGAUUGAACAAGGUAUUGGGAUACCGACGAUCGAAUCUCGGGCAAGUAACGUACCGAUUGACAAAGGGAAUUGUAUACGGGAUUGAUUGAAUCCUCGACAUCGUGGUUCAUCCGAUGAGAUCAUCGUGGAACAUGUGGGAGCCAACAUGGGUAUCCAGAUCCCGCUGUUGGUUAUUGACCGGAGAGUCGUCUCGGUCAUGUCUGCAUGUCUCCCGAACCCGUAGGGUCUACACACUUAAGGUUCGGUGACGCUAGAGUUGUAGAGAUAUUAGUAUGCGGUUAACCGAAAGUUGUUCAGAGUCCUGGAUGAGAUCCCGGACGUCACGAGGAGUUUUGGAAUGGUCCGGAGGUAAAGAUUUAUAUAUGGGAAGUCCUAUUUUGGCCACCGGAAAAUGUUCGGGAUUUUUCGGUAUUGUACCGGAAAGGUUCUAGAAGGUUCCGAAGUGGGGCCCACCUGCAUGGGGGGACCCACAUGAACGUGGGUAGUGGGGGCAAGGCCCCACACCCCUGGUCAAGGCGCACCAAGAUCCCACCUUAGAAGGAAUAAGAUCAUAUCCCGAAGGGAUAAGAUCAAGAUCCCUAAAGAAUGGGGAUAACAAUCGGUGGGGAAGGGAAAUGAUGGGAUUUCUUUCCCCCACCUUUGCCAACGCCCCAAUGGACUUGGAGGGCAAGAAACCAGCCCCCUCCACCCCUAUAUAUAGUGGGGAGGCACAUGGGAGCAGCACCCCAAGCCCUGGCGCCUCCCUCCCUCCCGUGACACCUCUUCCUCCCCGCUUGCGCUUGGCGAAGCCUUGCCGGGAUCCCGCUACUUCCACCACCACACCGUCGUGCUGCUGGAUCUCCAUCAACUUCUCCUCCCCCCUUGCUGGAUCAAUAAGGAGGAGACGUCCCCGCUCCGUACGUGUGUUGAACGCGGAGGUGCCGUCUGUUCGGCGCUAGGAUCAUCUGUGAUUUGGAUCACGACGAGUAUGACUCCAUCAACCCCGUUCUCUUGAACGCUUCGAUCUACAAGGGUAUGUAGAUGCACUCCCCUCUCUCUCGUUGCUAGAUGACUCCAUAGAUUGAUCUUGGUGAUACGUAGAAAAUUUUAAAUUUCUGCUACGAUCCCCAACAGUACCAACAUUUGUUAUUUACGUGCGACACUGUGGUGCAUGAUCGACGUGCAUGUAUUUGUAUGGAUUUGAGAGUCCGGAUUUGAGAUAUGUGGAUGCACAGAAGGAAAUAUGAGGGCCCGUCCGGAUGCGCCUGUGGGCGUGCCGGGAUGCGUCCGCGGGCGUUUGAGGGGCCGGAUUUGCCAAAUCCGGUUGUAGAUUCCCUAAAAAUUCUUUAUAUCCUUUCCUGACGAGGCCCCGGUCUGAUUCGUUCAACGGCAAUGCCUUCACUUUUGGUGAGCCACCUUGAAGGUCCGCAAAGCUGCAUAUCAACGAUGGAGCCGCGUCGAGCUCGUGUGAGGAGGUGAUCCAUCAUUCUUUUCUUCGAUGGCUGAUGUGGUGGUGUCGGAGGCAGGUGACAGGUGUUGGUGUCAAGCUCAGAGAUGUUUUGCUAUCUUUUCACUUAUGUCAUGUUGGUCUUUACGUGACUUGUACUUUGUUUUUUAUGAUAUUUGAAUGAGACACGUACUACCAUAGAAAAAAAGAAGUUAACACACAAUUAGUUUGGCCAAAGAGAUCGCCUAAGCCCGGGCGCAAGCCAAACAGCGUGGCAGAUUAAAAAAACGACGUGCCAAAACAAUUGGUGUUUCAUCAAUCAACCUUUUCCGAUUUUAAAGGCGCCAUCCAAUUUUUGGCUCGUCGAUGGAUUAACACUUAUCACGCGUGUAUCUAUCGGCCCUCCCAAACUCCGCUCCCACCUCCCCCAUUAUCUGCAACAACCUCCGAUCCAACUGGCCUAGCCGGCUCGAACGCCGAUUCUCGACUCAUAUUCCAGGCGCCUUCUCACACGCGACCUUCUCCUCCAACGCCAGUCCCAUCGCCGCCGCCCUGUUCACCAGCUGUAAUGGAGCCGCCGUCCUCACCCACGGGAACGGAGCCGCCGGCGACCGCCCAUCCGGCCUGUGGAAUACAACGUCAUUGCUUGUUCUUCAUCCACACCUUGGAUUGAAGGUGAGAAUGCCGGCUCUUGUCAUCAGUUAGAACUAAGGCAACACAUGAGAUGAUUUGAAACCAAAGAAUGGAUCCCGCUUAUUCUGUGCAUGAACCCAUCAUGAGAUCUUAUGGGUUUUCUCUGAAUUUUGCUCCGUCCACAGCAUCGUGAUCUGCCUCUCUAUGCUCGUCGCCGGCGUCGAACUCUCUCCGUGGACACUUCACGCAGUCAACUCGAACGCCAACGCCACCCUCCUGACCGGGGUGAUCGGAGCCGCCAGCCACACCCAGCCACCCAGGGGAUCAGAGCCAGCGGCCACCACCCACCUGGCCUGUGCGAUACGACGGUACUGCUUCCUCUUCAUCCACCUAUUCGCAUCAUAGUUAGAACGCCUGGUAUUUUUACACCCCUUAGACAACAGUGAGGUCAAUAUAAUCCAAAACUUUGUAUAUAAAUAUCAAAUGGCAGAAUACAUACCACGUGUUGUUCACAUUAACGACAGUAGAGAAAAUUUAGUAAGUAAUCAUUAAUCACCGAUCAAUCUGUAUGGUAAACGUACACCUCUGGAGAGGUAGUAACAAAGAAGUAAUUAAAUUAAAUAGCUUAUCAUAGUAAUUUUGUGCUCUGUAAGAAACAGGUGGAACAAUUACAGUAUGGUACAACCCCAUAGCUUAUGUUUAUUCUCUGACUUGACCCAGUCUCUGUUUGUGCAUAUUUUCCAGGAAUGGCCAGUUCUCCUACAAGUUGUGCCGACACACAAUUACCAGACUUAACCAAUCAGGUAUAUUUUUUCCCAGUUAGGUUAAAAUCUUUGAAAACACAUAGUUCUUUUACCUUUACACGUAUUUCAGGCUUUUUUGGACGAACUCAGUGUGAAACAUGCAAAUAUGAGGUUAAUGUGCUCACCGAUAAGGUUCGCGCAAAUGAUUGAUGGAUUAGAUGACGAGCACCUAAAGGCCAUCUGCACUCAAACUGGUCUUGGAGGGCUAACAAAGAUGAAGUCAGUGUCUCUCCGACAUAUUAUGUUGGUGCUGCUAGCGAAGAGCUACAUCCACGACAUGCAGAGUAUUCACAUUGCUGGUAAGGACAUUUCUAUAACUCCAACGGAUGUCUAUCAAUUAAUGGACCUUCCAAUAGAGGGGAAAGAUAUAUAUAUGGAAAUGGGAAAACCGAAAGACACAAACCUGUUAAGGGCUUAUCAAACAGAUGGAAGACUUAAGCUGAGUGACCUCGAGGACAAAAUUAAAGCCUCCAAAACUCCAGAUGAUCAUUUCAUCAGGCGGUUUGUUUUGUAUGCUAUUGGCAUUAUUUUAGCACCCACGGUACAAGAUUAUGUCAACUCCAAAUAUUUCAUCCUUGUUGAAGACGUCGCAAGAAUUCCCAAUUUUAACUGGGGAUGUUUCACACUAAACCAUUUGAUAACAUCCAUCAAUACUUUUAAUUAUAAGGAUCAAGUCAAUCUACAAGGAAAUCUAGCUUUGCUCCAAGUAAGUGCUUCAACAGUAGUUGUCAUUCAACUAUUAUUCAUAUGAUGCAUAUAUCUCUAUCAUUGAUGAACUAAUAUUUCCUAUAGUUUUGGUAUUGGGAACAUGUUUGUGCUGGAUCGAUUUUGUAUUCUCGUAUACCCCGUCCGCUGAUGGCACGGUGGGAUGAAGCCACAGGUAAAAUAAGACAUGAGACUUAUGAUAAAGGAGGCCUAUAUAAUGGAUUGGUAGCUUUCUAGACUUGACUUCUAUAUUUACCAUAUUUAUUUCUUAGUACUGAUUCUUUAUAUCUUUUCAAAGGUUGUCAUGAACAUCGGCGGUCUGGAGCCAACCAACAUUACAAAUGACCAGCAUACCAACAAAGAUACACAUGCGCAUGAAGAUGCUAUCUAUCGACCAUAACCACGAGGUCAAACUAUGAGUAGCCAACAAGUAAGUUGCUCCAAGACACAUCCUUUUCAAUAACACAACAAAGGUCACACCUAACCAUACUUAUUUUUCUUCUAACAAAACGAGUUGACAUUUCUUUUAUGCAGAUGGACAUGAUACUUCAAACCCAGAACGAUCUAUUUGCAGAACAAGAGAAAAAGUUGGUCAAACAAGUAGUAGAAGUAGAGCACAAAUUAGAUAAAAGAAUAAUCACCGUGACCGAGGACGUGAUAAACAUAAGGGGUAAAAUUGCCACUCAACCUAGGUUGUCCAAGCUGGAGGACGAAGUUGGAGACCUCAAAAGGGAAGUUGGAGACCUCAAAAGGGAACUCCAGGUAAGUGAUACUACAACAUCAAUUUUACCCAUAACUUCCUAUAUUUUCAUUCUAUGCAUUUCAUGUUACAGGAAUUAAGAUCCCUAGUUGAAACAAACAAACAAUCAACGACGAACAAUGCAUACGUACGGGUGAUAACUAUGGCCCAUAACCUUGCUAACAUGAGCUAAUUUCUGUUCAUUGACCAACUCCUAAUUUUAGGAACAAGAGCAACCAAGCAAUGGCAAGUUUUCAUCAACUCCUGGGUUUGACGCAUGGAAAGCGCGGACUUCUGCUGGUACACCUAGUGCAAAACCUGUGGUGCAAAACGAGGAGUUGGACCAAGACAUCCCACCACGGAAGCCUGUAUUCAACAAUGAUUACAUAUUGAUAGAUGAAGACUACGAGGCCGCACUUUUCAUCCGAGGGAGUCACGACCUUGUUGAGGUAGUUCACAUCGAAGACAUUGUGCUAACAGUUCAUCAACUCAAGCCAAAUGUUAGCAAACUAUUCUUCGUCGAUGACGUAAGGCCCGUAUACUGCAAUCUACAUCAAGUAUUCUAAAUUGUGCCAUAUUACAUGACUACAAAUUUUGCAGGUUAUUAAUGCAUAUGCACACAUUAGCAAUGUUGCAACUGAUGCUACAUCAUUCAUUUCCACCGUAGAAAGCAGAAGAUUGCUAGGCGAAUUUGGGGGUAUUCCAAUGGGAUGCAAAAGCCCACAUGUUGCUAAUGUAGGAACGAAAUUUGUAGGACGCAAAAUGGUAUGCAUGUUUCCUGACUUGUUUAAUUGUAUAUCUUGAUUUUCCCUAAAUUGAGUCUGCUUUAAUUUCCUGGCAGGUACGUGUCCCAAUGAAUGUACACAACAUGCAUUGGUUAUUACUCGUGUUUAAUUUAGACAAAGAAGAGAUCCAUGUCCUAAACUCCAAUCAAGCAUAUCGUGACAUUGCCAAGGAAACUACACUAGUAAGCUUGCUCUCUUGCUGCCUCUUAGCAUCAUGUGACACUUUUUGAGAAGCACUAAUGCAAUCCCUUGAAUUACUCUUCAUACACCAGGUGGAGUCCAUUCAGGCGUGUAUCAACGAAGCGGUCGAGGAUGGCUUGGUAACACCGCCUAAACCCAUCAAUAUUACCCAGUGGAAAACCACUUGCUAUUCUAACAUACCACAACAGACGGAUGGGUACGUAUAGGCAGCUAUAUGAUUCCUCACCUAGACUACAAUACUUAACUUCAACUUUACAUCGCAUUUAUUCCUACGGGGCGCACACUCAAAUACAUGUUGACAUGGGAUGGAGACAAAAUUACCGAGGAUUUCACACAGGUCUGCGAAACACUAAAUUACAUUAGCAAUCAUGCACUACCUAUGCUUCACCGCUAUCCUAACCUAUGCGUCGCUAUCUAAUUCUGGCACUAAUACAUAUUUUCAGCUGGAAAAUAUGUUCAAGCCUGCUGCGUUCAGAUUGCAACAAGCUUCGGAAAAAAUCAUACAAGGAUCCUAUAACGGUAAGUUCUACACAACUAGCAUUUCAUGUCAUGUAGUUCCUACCUUUCAUGAUUGCAUGUAACACACCACUAUUUCCUCUACAGAAGGGUGAGUACAAAGCCAGCAUUCCAGAGGAACGAAAAGGUGCAGACGGCGAUGUCACGAUUGUCACCAACCCUGAUGUUACAAACAAACCAGAGACAUCCGGUGCCCCAAAGCGUAAACGUGGACGCCCGAGGAAGAAUGCCCCUCCUAGUAAUCCAGUGAAACAACAAUUUGACACAGAGACUAUCGCUAAACAAGUGGAGUUGAAAAGACGCAAGCGCAAACCAUCAAACGCCAUGUCCAGCCCAUUCGUAAAGCCAUGAAUGGGCUACACGGAGAGGCACUUCAAGGGCAGUUCCAAAUGAUGUUCUUUGAAUUAAAGACUACACUUAUGUUCUGAUGUUUUUGCAUAUUAUUUGUACGCUUAUGUCCAUCCAAAUGCUUGACUUUUCAUUGCUUUUUUUAUAAAAAAACCAGCUAAUGAGCUGCAUGUUCCACUUCUAUCAUUUGCACCAUCUGAUCCAAACCUAUCUGCAUCGGAGUAUGCUUACAUUUAAAACACUACCAUAAGUGACUACUUACAAACGCAUGCUCCCCAUUCUAUACGGCGCCAUACACUAAGUAAGUAUACAGUUCUGGUUUAAGUGGAUGAUGAUUAUGGCUGAGGCAGGGUAAUUAAGGAAAAAAAUCAUAGCAUAUAGAACAAAUGAGCAAUGAUGUAAAUAUCAUGGUUACACUGCUAUCCCUCACAUCACGAGUUGAGUGGGAGAUUAUUACCUCACCAGCAAAAAGAACAGAAUCAAUAAUGCAGCUAGCUUGAUGGAUUACUUCGGUCCGCUCCACAAGAAAAAUUUCAGGCUGCAGCACCAGUACUCAAUGCACACACAGAACCGUAUUGUCAAAUGCCAGCCUCUCCUGCAGAAAAUAAGAAAGAACAGCAUCAGGAACACCAUGUACCAUUUUUAUACUGAUAUAGACAUGUCGACAAGAGUUGGUACAUUGCAGCUUGUGUUUUGCAUCAAAACUAAUGCGAUCCAUGGAGCUAACAAAUUUACAACUAAUAAAUCUAGGCCUAAGUCUUUUGGGUAACAAUACUGAAACAGAUGUCCCAGCGAGCUUUACUCAAACAGAGUUCUGCUUACUAACUAGACACCUAGGACAACAAUGAGAACCAGGCAACCAGCAUAAGAUCAUCGAAGAAGAAACAUAUGCUAAACUUGCUCAUUGGCAAAAUAGGUUGUGCACGCGAACAUGACAGAGAUGACUAAAAUAGGGGCCAUACUUCUUCUGUUCCAUAUUUGUCGACAAUGAUUAUGGCCGAGGCAUGAUAAUGCACUUGUAGCAACGCGUGCAAAGCAGGCAAGAAAUUCACAUAAAGCAGCCAUUCUUCCAAAUUGAGCCAAUUCUGGUUUUCGAAGAAAUACUACAUGUAAUUACUGUCCAUUCUAUACGACGCCAUACACUGCCUAAAUAUAAAGAAAAUGGCCAUAGUCCAGUGGCAUAAUCAGAAGAACAUAACUCUUUUUCACAGCACAAAGGUUCUGAACCCAUCAACUUGCAAGUUAUAUUCCAAUAAAAUUUACCAUGUUCUGUAUUACCUACUGACUCUAAUCACUACCUACUGACUCCAAUCACUGUAAUGGAAAGCAGGGGGAAUAACUAUUGCUCCGAGAUAUGCAAUCCAAGAUUUUCCUUUCGUCAUCAAUCCUCCGGAUGAUUUCUGCCUCUUCCACAUAUCCUGUUGUUUCCCGGAUGUCAGGAACUUGCCGCUCCUCGCAGCGAGUUUCUGGCUGAACACCAUAACUAUCACGGUCCAUCUUUUGUAGGCGCUUUUGCAUCGAUCUCAUUUUACGUGGCAUCUUAAUCUUCUUCAUCGUGGCUGCCCACUGCAAGAGGUACAAUGUGGUGUAUCAGUACCAUGGAAGGCUUGAAAGGGGCGGAGAUGGCAUUACAAACUAGUUUCAAUCAGGUGGUUGAGAAAAACAAUCCAGAAACUGAUAUUACACUUGGAUACCAGACAAGUUUUACUUCACUUUCCCCUCAAUCAAAUCAUGAUAUUUGUGGACAUAGCUUACUAUUGGUCAAACAAAAGAAGGCAGGGACAUUUACGAACCUAAAGGUAGUCUUGGCAUCAACAAGUAGAAGUAGCUUUUACUUAACAUCGACUCAAAGAUCAACUCCAACAGUGAGGUUCAGAUCUACUUCAUUACAUAAAAAAGUUUAAGAUGUAGUUCAUUAUCUAAAAUAUUCAUAUGUUAGUAAACAAGAGCAUUCAGAUCAAGAUUGAUAGUUACCAAAUCGACAUAAUCUUGCAUACCAGGUUGAAGUCGGUUUCAUCUUCAAAAAUAUUAAAGCAUGUCGGAGAUGUCGUUCGCAGCAUCCUUAAGCCGAUUCAAACAUAGGUGUAGGUGACUGUUGCAUGAGAACGACGUCUCCGACACCUACACGCGGAAUGUGACUUUGAAUGUCUGAAUGGAACAAAUUCAGACAUUCAGUGAUGGCCGACUAUGUGGUUUACUGUCCACAUGCAAUGCAAAAGAGAGAACAAAGGAAUAAUGGGGUGAAAUACAGAAGUACAAAACCUGAAUAUUCUGACGGACAGAUAUCCUUGAAUGUCUGAAUUUGUUCCACUGUCGCCUACACGCGUGCGGAAUCAUCAGAGGCAGAUAGCGGCGCAGAGGGCUGGAGGGAUACUCGUCCUGCGCGGGAAGCUUGGCAGGAUAAGCAGCGACGGUUCUAGACACCGGACCUUCUCCGUCCUCGGCGGCGGCGGACGACUGUGUAGGAUAACGGGUCAGAGGAUGUGCAUGAAAAAACAGGGCCGUCCUCGGUGGCGGCGGCGGCGGAAGAUUAAGCCCCGGGGUUACCUUCAUAUGGAUUGGGUCACCGGCGUUGAUGGCCGUCAGUGGCUGCUCCAGGGAGAAGGUGCUGCCGUGCGGAGCGCCUAUUCGACGGGGCGAUGCUCGGGGCGCUGGGGCAGCAGAGGAGAGCAGGCGGCUGCGGCUGUGCGAGGGUCGGCGGCUGUGGCGGCACGAGCGACAGGAGGGACGCCGGCAGCGCCACGGUCGAGGGCAGGCUUGGCGGCGGCGCCUGUGCGAGGGGAUUGAGGUGGCUAACAAUCCGGCGAGGCCACUGAAGAUGCCGCCACCACGACCACCCGGAUCCUCCCGCGCUGGACGCUGAUCUGGGGAGCGGGGAGGAGAAGGCGCAGGAGAAGUGGCUGAGCCGGCGGCGGAGCGACCCGUGAGAGAAGGAGGCAAGCAGAGAUGCGAUCGACAGAUUGGGGACGAAGCGUUUCUUUUUUGCAGGUUUUCUUUUUCUUUUGUCCCAGCGCUGCAUCCUAAAUUGGACGGAUCUACCCUUUUAAAAAUUGAUUAGCCCCACCAUAAUCUUGUAAUGGUCCCACAAUUAUUUGUAAUUUCAUGUAAUUUUACUCCCGUAACUCCUCGUAACUCUUAUUUCUCCACCGUUUGAUCGGAGUGAAUGGACGGUCCCUAAAAUCGCCAAUCACUGUAACAGUUGUAAAACUGAGUAUGUAUUCUUUUCCAACACUAACA
rnacentral:lncRNA from 1 species